CCUACGGGAGGCAGCAGUGAGGAAUAUUGGUCAAUGGCCGGAAGGCUGAACCAGCCAAGCCGCGUGAAGGACGAAGGUGCCAAGCAUUGUAAACUUCUUUUGUCAAGGGACAAAAUCAGGCUCGAGAGCCUGACCGAGGGUACUUGAAGAAAAAGCAUCGGCUAACUCCGUGCCAGCAGCCGCGGUAAUACGGAGGAUGCGAGCGUUAUCCGGAUUUAUUGGGUUUAACGGGUGCGUAGGCGGACUGUUAAGUCAGCGGGAAAAGCCCGGGGCUCAACCCCGGCGCGCCGUGGAAACUGGCUGUCUUGAGAUGUCGAGAGGUAUGCGGAAUGCGUAGUGUAGCGGUGAAAUGCUUAGAUAUUGCGCAGAACUCCGAUUGCGAAGGCAGCAUACCGGCGGCGAUCUGACGCUGAGGCACGAAAGCGUGGGUAUCGAACAGGAUUAGAUACCCCAGUAGUC
rnacentral:rRNA from 1 species